GGUGAACGCUGGCGGCGUGCUUAAGACAUGCAAGUCGAACGGUACCUUCGGGUAUAGUGGCGCACGGGUGAGUAACGCGUGAAUGACGUACCUCUUAGUCCUGGAUAACCUCCCGAAAGGGAAGCUAAUAUGGGAUGUGAAGCUACACUGUGGUGUAUCUUUAAAGAUUUAUUGCUAAGAGAUCGGUUCGCGUCCCAUCAGCUAGUUGGUAGGGUAAAGGCCUACCAAGGCAACGACGGGUAGCCGGCCUGAGAGGGUGGCCGGCCACAAGGGCACUGAGACACGGGCCCUACUCCUACGGGAGGCAGCAGUUAGGAAUCUUCCACAAUGGGCGAAAGCCUGAUGGAGCAACGCCGCGUGAAGGAUGAAGGUUUUCGGAUCGUAAACUUCUGAACUAGGGACGAAAGAUAACCAAAAUGACGGUACCUAGGUAAUAGCACCGGCUAACUCCGUG
rnacentral:rRNA from 1 species